rnacentral:rRNA from 1 species
UACGUAGGGUGCGAGCGUUGUCCGGAAUUAUUGGGCGUAAAGCGCGCGUAGGCGGCUACUUAAGUCGGAUGUGAAAGCCCCUGGCUCAACUGGGGAAGUGCACCCGAAACUGAGUGGCUUGAGUGCGAAAGAGGGUCGCGGAAUUCCCGGUGUAGAGGUGAAAUUCGUAGAUAUCGGGAGGAACACCGGUGGCGAAGGCGGCGACCUGGGUCGACACUGACGCUGAGGCGCGAAAGCGUGGGAGCAAACAGG